CAGAGAAUAGUUUAAAUAAAAUAUUAAUUUUGGAGAUUAAUGAUGAGGAUUUCCUUUUCUCUGA
rnacentral:tRNA from 1 species